rnacentral:tRNA from 1 species
GCGAGAGUGGUGGAAUUGGUAGACACGCUAGAUUUAGGAUCUAGUGCUUUAACCGGCGUGGGGGUUCGAGUCCCCCCUCUCGUA